AGAGUUUGAUCAUGGCUCAGAACGAACGUUGGCGGCGUGGAUUAGGCAUGCAAGUCGAACGAAUCCCGGGGUAGCAAUACCUCGGGGGAAGUGGCGAAAGGGGCAGUAAUGCGUGGGUAACCUACCCCGGGGAUAGGCAUAGCCGGCCUAACGGCCGGGUAAUUCCCAGCGAUCUGGUUGGGGGGCAUCCUUCGACCAGGAAAUGAGUUUCGCCUCGGGAGGGACUCACGUCGUAUUAGCUUGUUGGCGGGGUAACGGCCCACCAAGGCAAGGAUGCGUAGCGGGUGUGAGAGCACGACCCGCGCCACUGGCACUGAGACACUGGCCAGACACCUACGGGUGGCUGCAGUCGAGGAUCUUCGUCAAUGGGCGCAAGCCUGAACGAGCGACGCCGCGUGCGCGAUUGAAGGCCUUCGGGUUGUAAAGCGCAAAAGGGGGGAACAAGGGGCAACCUUGAGUGAACCCCAGUAAGCUCGGGCUAAGUUCGUGCCAGCAGCCGCGGUAAGACGAACCGAGCGAACGUUGUUCGGAAUCACUGGGCUUAAAGGGCGCGUAGGCGGGCUCGCAAGUCUGUGGUGAAAUCCCCCGGCCCAACCGGGGAACUGCCGUGGAUACUGCGGGCCUCGAGCGAGGUAGGGGCGUGCGGAACUGAUGGUGGAGCGGUGAAAUGCGUUGAUAUCAUCAGGAACUCCGGUGGCGAAGGCGGCACGCUGGACCUCUUCUGACGCUGAGGCGCGAAAGCCAGGGGAGCAAACGGGAUUAGAUACCCCGGUAGUCCUGGCCCUAAACGAUGGGCACUAGGUAGUAGCCUUCACAUGGGGUUACUGCCGGAGCAAAAGUGCUAAGUGCCCCGCCUGGGGAGUAUGGUCGCAAGGCUGAAACUCAAAGGAAUUGACGGGGGCUCACACAAGCGGUGGAGCAUGUGCUUUAUUCGAGGCUACGCGAGAACCUUAUUCCCAGGCUUGACAUGUCCGA
rnacentral:rRNA from 1 species